CCAUGCCGCGUGCGGGAAGAAGGCCUUCGGGUUGUAAACCGCUUUGUCCGGGAAGAAAAGACAUCUCCUAAUACGGGGUGUUCUUGACGGUACUGGAAGAAUAAGCACCGGCUAACUACGUGCCAGCAGCCGCGGUAAUACGUAGGGUGCGAGCGUUAAUCGGAAUUACUGGGCGUAAAGCGUGCGCAGGCGGUUCGCUAAGUCUGAUGUGAAAGCCCCGGGCUCAACCUGGGAACUGCAUUGGAAACUGGCGAGCUUGAGUGUGGCAGAGGGGGGUGGAAUUCCACGUGUAGCAGUGAAAUGCGUAGAGAUGUGGAGGAACACCGAUGGCGAAGGCAGCCCCCUGGGCUGACACUGACGCUCAGGCACGAAAGCGUGGGGAGCAAACAGGAUUAGAUACCCUGGUAGUCCACGCCCUAAACGAUGUCAACUGGGUGUUGGGGGAGCGAUUCCUCAGUACCGUAGCUAACGCGUGAAGUUGACCGCCUGGGGAGUACGGCCGCAAGGUUA
rnacentral:rRNA from 1 species